GGAGAUGUAGCUCAGUGGUAGAGUAUUUGCCUAGUAUACACAAGGCUAUGGUUCCAUCUCCA
rnacentral:tRNA from 1 species